GGGUGGGGCACAGGAGGUGAAGGGUUAACAUGCAGGGCUGCAAGUAGACUUUAUAGGUUGGGUCAUCUGUGAAGAGGUGAAGGGUUAACAUGCAGGGCUGCAAGUAGACUUUACAGGUUGGGGCACGUUGUGAAGGGUUAACAUGCAGGG